rnacentral:rRNA from 1 species
UGGGGAAUAUUGCACAAUGGGCGCAAGCCUGAUGCAGCAACGCCGCGUGAGGGACGACGGCCUUCGGGUUGUAAACCUCUUUUAGUAGGGAAGAAGCGAAAGUGACGGUACCUGCAGAAAAAGCACCGGCUAACUACGUGCCAGCAGCCGCGGUAAUACGUAGGGUGCGAGCGUUGUCCGGAAUUAUUGGGCGUAAAGAGCUCGUAGGCGGUCUGUCGCGUCUGCUGUGAAAACCCGAGGCUCAACCUCGGGCCUGCAGUGGGUACGGGCAGACUAGAGUGCGGUAGGGGAGAAUGGAAUUCCUGGUGUAGCGGUGGAAUGCGCAGAUAUCAGGAGGAACACCGAUGGCGAAGGCAGUUCUCUGGGCCGUAACUGACGCUGAGGAGCGAAAGCGUGGGGAGCGAACAGGAUUAGAUACCCUGGUAGUCCACGCCGUAAACGUUGGGCACUAGGUGUGGGGUCCAUUCCACGGAUUCCGUGCCGCAGCAAAGCGCAUUAAGUGCCCUGCCUGGGGA